rnacentral:rRNA from 1 species
AUUGAACGCUGGCGGCAUGCCUUACACAUGCAAGUCGAACGGUAACGGGCCUUCGGGUGCCGACGAGUGGCGAACGGGUGAGUAAUGUAUCGGAACGUACCUUUCAGUGGGGGAUAACGUAGCGAAAGUUACGCUAAUACCGCAUAUUCUGUAAGCAGGAAAGCAGGGGAUCGCAAGACCUUGCGCUGAUUGAGCGGCCGAUAUCAGAUUAGCUAGUUGGUGAGGUAAAGGCUCACCAAGGCGACGAUCUGUAGCGGGUCUGAGAGGAUGAUCCGCCACACUGGAACUGAGACACGGUCCAGACUCCUACGGGAGGCAGCAGUGGGGAAUUUUGGACAAUGGGGGCAACCCUGAUCCAGCCAUGCCGCGUGAGUGAAGAAGGCCUUCGGGUUGUAAAGCUCUUUCGGCCGGGAAGAAAUCGCAUGGGCUAAUACCCUGUGC